UACGUAGGGGGCUAGCGUUGUCCGGAUUUAUUGGGCGUAAAGAGCGUGUAGGCGGCCAGGUAGGUCUGGUGUGAAAACUCGAGGCUUAACCUUGAGAUGUCAUCGGAAACCAUUUGGCUAGAGUACGGAAGAGGCGAGUGGAAUUCCUGGUGUAGCGGUGGAAUGCGCAGAUAUCAGGAGGAACACCAAUAGCGAAGGCAGCUCGCUGGGACGUUACUGACACUGAGGCGCGAAAGCGUGGGGAGCGAACAGG
rnacentral:rRNA from 1 species